CACAGAGCAGAUUGCAAAAUCUAUUGCCUACUUGAAGGCACAAAUGCGCCUCACGGACAUACAGGACUCGUGGCUGUGUGUCAGUUGGCUGCAUGUGUAAGUGUUGCAAUCGAGUUUGCCUGGUGAAACUUUUUGCUAUUCCACAUUACUUGAAAAGCAGGCGAGGCGAGCGAUAAAUAUAUACAACAUAUUUCCAUUUGCUGAAUUGCAUAAGCCUGAGCCACCUGGCUGUGUGUUUUGCACUGUGGUUGUGGUGAAGGUGGUGGUGCUGAUGCUGCCUGUGGUGGAGUUAGUGGCUUUACUGGCCUAGCCAGAAGCAUACGCAUGGCGAGCUCAGCCAACCAGGCCAUGCAUUAUUUUAUUCAAUUUUUGCCAAUUUGCUGCUUGGAUACAAGAUAAGAUCCAGCAAGGAGGCUUGAGUGGGAUGCCUUUCAAUAAGCAGGAUCUCUGUUCCUUUAUGGGAGGAGUGGGAGGAUGAAAAUGCAAAAAUGCACUGCAUACAUUUAGGCUCAACACUGUUUACUUUAUCCCGGGCCCAUUCAGUUCAUCCUUCAGGAUAGACAGGACGCAGGAAUUGUGAAGAAAUUCUCUCCCUAGGCCCCUGUCUGUAAAGGGCUCGGCUUGUAUGACAAGUUGUUAGAGUUGUUAUUGAUGUUGUUGCUGCUGCUGUUAUUGUAUUGUAGUUUAAGCCAUUGAUUGCAUUGAACCGGAGCUUCGUUGAUUUUUGGCUUUUUCGAUUCAUCCAGCAUCCAUCCGACCUCCAACAUCCAACAGCAGCUGAAGCAGCAGCAAAAAUGAAGUUUUUAAGUCUUUUCGAAAAUGUUUUAGCUCCUCUUCAACUUCGUCCUGCUCCUUGCAUAUUGUUUGCAAUAUUUUGUGUGUGUAGAUGGGACAUAAGCUGACUGAUGUUGACGGAAUGGAUAGGCAUUUUGCAUUAUACUGAGUCGCAAGACAGUACAUGCCACUGUCCCCGCCAUCCAAAAACUGAAAGUUGGUAAAUAUUCCACUCCACUGUUGCCUCGACCCGAUAUUUCAGAGCACUAUACAUCCUUUAUCAAGUGGGUCUAAGUGCCCUGGCGAUAGACAAAAUUGAAGGACUGUUUGAAGGAAAAAUAUCAAUAUGAGUGUUUGUGUCAGCUCCCUGGCAAUUAUUACUUUCUGAAUGGAAUCUGGACGACUUGAUGGAUUAAAUAGAAUGAUUGCGUUUUAGGAAGACUUCUUUUUAGAGCCAGUCAACGCCUUCGAUGCCUUUUGGUUUACCUGCGAUGCCAUGCCCCCGUCCCGGUACUCCCAGCCCCAUCACAUGCAUUUCAAUUAACGGACACCGAAAGCACUCCACAAAAACACGUGCUAGUAUUGCCGUGCCACGCCCACCCCAGCCCGUAGUCAGGGGCGGGGGUAAGUGAGGGCGUGAGUAGACGGAGGAGGAGGAGGGUCUAUGGGGUUGUACCCACAUUGUUUACGCUGCGGGGACUGCACUUUAUCACAAUGCCGGGCCAGGUCAGAGCUGAAAACAAACUGCGGUCGCCAUCGGAAUUUUGACUUGCCAGGUGGCAGGCUCCCUUCCAUCAUCCAGAGACUGGGGACUUUUGGAAUUUAAUCACAGGGUCAGAGGUAAAUUAUUACAAAAAAAAAUUAAUGAGAAGAGAAAAAUAUCAAUUAUUGGAAGUGUUUUUGAAAAUCAUUUAAUUAAGCAAUAGAAGAAAGUCCCUAAUAUUCUCA